GCCCGGGUGGCGAAACUGGCAAAAGCGGCGCCCUUAAAAGGCGCUGUCCCUUCGGGGGCUUGCGGGUUCGAGUCCCGCCCCGGGCA
rnacentral:tRNA from 1 species